CUAACUUUAAGGUACACUGUUAAUGACCUAACGAUCUGCCACCAUGCAGGGACAGACUAACUUUAAGGGCCUGAUUAGGGACAUAGAAGAGAUUUUGGGAAUGACAAUCCAGAAUAAAGCCCUGGUGACCGAGGAAGAAGAGAAGGCUGCUCCUGUCCGGACUAAACGGGAUCACUGACCCACACAACUAGGAUACCUCAGUCACUUUAAAACGGAAGAAAUGCCACCGUUUUGAUCAGAUCGAUGCCAAUUACUCCAACUGAUCAUUUCAGACCCUAUUAUCUAUUUCUAUCUGUAUUUCAUAAGAGUUUAUCUUACUAGGGACAAUACAUUAUUAUAUUCCUGAACGACUGAACUCUGUUAGUGUGUGAUUGUUCAUACUGUAGCCUAAACACAACCAGGGAACAAGUUGUAUUAAGUUUUAAGAACAUAAAAAACUUUAUUAUAAAUUCAAAUGUA